rnacentral:rRNA from 1 species
AUUGAACGCUGGCGGCAGGCUUAACACAUGCAAGUCGAGCGGGGUGAUGGUGCUUGCACUAUCACUUAGCGGCGGACGGGUGAGUAAUGCUUAGGAAUCUGCCUAUUAGUGGGGGACAACAUCUCGAAAGGGAUGCUAAUACCGCAUACGCCCUACGGGAGAAAGCAGGGGAUCACUUGUGACCUUGCGCUAAUAGACGAGCCUAAGUCGGAUUAGCUAGUUGAUGGGGUAAAGGCCUACCAAGGCGACGAUCUGUAGCGGGUCUGAGAGGAUGAGCCGCCACACUGGGACUGGGACACGGCCCAGACUCCUACGGGAGGCAGCAGUGGGGAAUAUUGGACAAUGGGGGGAACCCUGAUCCAGCCAUGCCGCGUGUGUGAAGAAGGCCUUAUGGUUGUAAAGCACUUUAAGCGAGGAGGAGGCUCUUUUGGUUAAUACCCAAGAUGAGUGGACGUUACUCGCAGAAUAAGCACCGGCUAACUCUGUGCCAGCCGCCGCGGUAA